CGUCCGAAGUUGCCAUUUGUGAAAAAUCGAUUGGACACGAAAUAGUAAAAUUUCUUACAUGGCGGCUUACGGAGUUUGGCCCGUUUUAGUUUUAGUUUUUAAUUUUCUCAUUUAAGUCGUCUUCAGUUGCUAUUCUUAAUUAGAUAACUACAUUUCUUAGUUAUCAGUAAACGUCCCUACCGUGUUUACGAAAAAAUAUCGCCAUUUCCUGCCCCAAGGGAAGAAUGGAAAGAAGAGACGAAGGAAGAAACUAAGAGGGGACAAAGGGGUGGCGCGGGGUUCUCUUUCCUCGGGGCAGGAUAUUGUCCUUGAA